GAACUCACCCAAAUAUGGGGACCGCCUGAUUAUCAAAAACAUGGCUCCCUGAGCACAUGGGGGGUCMUGCCUUCCCGGUGAGCUUGCGGGUUUAAACGGACUGGGUAAAGCCGCUUAAGGUAGCUAAAUUAUGGYCUAUCAAUUGUAGGUCCUGUGAAUGGUUUGACGAGUUUCCAGCUGUCUCUAGCGGRACCUGAACUGCUWCCCUUGGAUGUGCSAUGCUUCCCUGCGCUGAAAGAACCCAAGACUCCGAGAAGAAUUGAACGACUUUUCGGMCUGUGUGAAGCCCCUAAWUAGCCCAAUCGKCGAUUCCCCUAGACCUUAGCCCCAAUGUGGGGGUGAUUUAUUGCAUGCUUGUCCUUGKUUUUUUCGGKAUCAAGCUCGAUUCCCUUAUCUCCYACCCGCAUCUGUACGACCCUCUCUUCKAGGGCCUCUUAUCAUAAGACUUCACUACGGCCAUAACAGURUCCUUCCUUUCGUUASUGUUUAUUUAUCUUCAGGAUUUCWACAUCUUUAUUCUCUYUGUAUACCACAUCGUUUGAAUGYSCCCUAUAUGGGUGGUUCYCUCUGCCUCUUAUCUCU
rnacentral:rRNA from 1 species